rnacentral:rRNA from 1 species
UACGUAGGUGGCAAGCGUUGUUCGGAAUUACUGGGCGUAAAGCGCGUGUAGGCGGCUCUUCAAGUCAGGCGUGAAAGCCCCGAGCUUAACUCGGGAACUGCGCUUGAUACUGUCGAGCUAGAGUGUGGAAGGGGCGAUUGGAAUUCCGUGUGUAGCGGUGAAAUGCGUAGAUAUACGGAGGAACACCAGAGGCGAAGGCGGAUCGCUGGGCCAACACUGACGCUGAGACGCGAAAGCUAGGGGAGCAAACGGG